rnacentral:rRNA from 1 species
GCACCUCGAUGUCGGCUCAUCACAUCCUGGGGCUGUAGUAGGUCCCAAGGGUUGGGCUGUUCGCCCAUUAAAGUGGUACGCGAGCUGGGUUCAGAACGUCGUGAGACAGUUCGGUCCCUAUCCGUCGCAGGCGUAGGAAAUUUGAGAAGACCUGUCCUUAGUACGAGAGGACCGGGAUGGACGUACCUCUGGUGUACCAGUUGUCCUGCCAAGGGCAUGGCUGGGUAGCUAUGUACGGAAUGGAUAAGCGCUGAAAGCAUCUAAGCGCGAAGCCAACUUCAAGAUAAGAUUUCCCACCGCAAGGGUAAGACCCCAGAAAGACUAUCUGGUUGAUAGGUCGAAGGUGUAAGUGCAGCAAUGUAUUUAGCUUAUCGAUACUAAUAGGUCGAGGACUUGACCAAU